GAUUUUAUUGGACGACACAGUGUCGGUAAUGAAAAUGAACGAAUGGGCUGCUCACACUUCGGAGGCCCUUGAACUGAUCCAUCGCAAUUCCCGGUGUGCCAAAUUACCACUCCAGCCCUGGUAACAAAACCGAAGGAGCUCCUCAGACUCACACACCAGACAAACACAAUGUGCAGGUACAGCUUGUCUGUCCGCUCACCUGCAGGUGAGGUCGGGAUUAUCAAAUUAAAUCACUCCAAAAAGCAGCAGAAGACCGUGAAAGACUUGAAGAUCAAAGCAGCGCAACUGUUUCCAAAGAAAGGAUAUCUUAUGGCUGAAUUCCGGCUGAUUGUCUCUGGAAAGCCGCUGGACGAUGACUCUGCAUCUCUGUCUGAAUAUGGGAUCAAACCCUCGUCUGUGGUGCAGAUGGUGACGAAGGUCCACGGAGGCUGACAAAUAUCAUCAUCGAUGCACUCGACUCCAUCCAAAAGAUUCACCUCAGGACUGAAAUGUGAUACACCAAAGGACUCGAUGCAUCAUCUUUGCUAGCUGGGACUGAACUGUGUCAUCUUUGAUCUUCUCUUCUACACUUUUGGGUCUUCCUUUAGAUUUUAAGACUUCUAUCAUACCCAUAUAGACUUCAGCACUAAUUUAUUAUCACAAGUUGUAAAUGAUGCACAAAUAUGGCAUAAUAAUAUUUCUUUUUUUUAUUUCUUUUUGUUUCAUUGAUAGCCUGUGUAACUUACUAGUAGUUGAAAUAACAAAAGCUGACAACAAAUGUACGGUUACGCAGCAGCCCCAUGAAUAUCAGUGUUCCUAAAAAAGUGAUACUGAGAUCAUUGGCUAAUAUUUACUUAUCUUGACUUUCCAGCUGAUUCCCAUAAAUGCUCUGCUUUCAUCUUCUUUAAAAAUAAAUGCAAUGAUUAUUGAAUUUAA